rnacentral:misc_RNA from 1 species
GGGGAAAUAAAAUAUAGAAAUAAAAAUAAAGAGAGAAAAUAAAGCUGAAGUAAAAUUAUUUUCUUUUUGAAUAUUAGAUAGAAAAAUAGCUUUCUGAAUAAUAAAAUAUUGAUUUUAUUCUUUUUAUUUAUAAUUAAAGUAAAUAAUUAUAAAUAUAAUUUUAUUUAUUUUUCAUCCGAACAAAAUUACUUGCAAGUCCCACAUUUUUAUUUUCCAACCAUAAUUUUCUUUUACUCUUGCAUCUAAUUUGCAUACUAUUAUAAGUAAAAUAUAAUUUUUUUUUAAAUAUUAACU